rnacentral:rRNA from 1 species
UACGCUUCUUUUUCACCGGAGCUUGCUCCACCGGAAAAAGAAGAGUGGCGAACGGGUGAGUAACACGUGGGUAACCUGCCCAUCAGAAGGGGAUAACACUUGGAAACAGGUGCUAAUACCGUAUAACAAUCGAAACCGCAUGGUUUUGAUUUGAAAGGCGCUUUCGGGUGUCGCUGAUGGAUGGACCCGCGGUGCAUUAGCUAGUUGGUGAGGUAACGGCUCACCAAGGCCACGAUGCAUAGCCGACCUGAGAGGGUGAUCGGCCACAUUGGGACUGAGACACGGCCCAAACUCCUACGGGAGGCAGCAGUAGGGAAUCUUCGGCAAUGGACGAAAGUCUGACCGAGCAACGCCGCGUGAGUGAAGAAGGUUUUCGGAUCGUAAAACUCUGUUGUUAGAGAAGAACAAGGAUGAGAGUAACUGUUCAUCCCUUGACGGUAUCUAACCAGAAAGCCACGGCUAACUACGUGCCAGCAGCCGCGGUAAUACGUAGGUGGCAAGCGUUGUCCGGAUUUAUUGGGCGUAAAGCGAGCGCAGGCGGUUUCUUAAGUCUGAUGUGAAAGCCCCCGGCUCAACCGGGGAGGGUCAUUGGAAACUGGGAGACUUGAGUGCAGAAGAGGAGAGUGGAAUUCCAUGUGUAGCGGUGAAAUGCGUAGAUAUAUGGAGGAACACCAGUGGCGAAGGCGGCUCUCUGGUCUGUAACUGACGCUGAGGCUCGAAAGCGUGGGGAGCAAACAGGAUUAGAUACCCUGGUAGUCCACGCCGUAAACGAUGAGUGCUAAGUGUUGGAGGGUUUCCGCCCUUCAGUGCUGCAGCUAACGCAUUAAGCACUCCGCCUGGGGAGUACGACCGCAAGGUUGAAACUCAAAGGAAUUGACGGGGGCCCGCACAAGCGGUGGAGCAUGUGGUUUAAUUCGAAGCAACGCGAAGAACCUUACCAGGUCUUGACAUCCUUUGACCACUCUAGAGAUAGAGCUUCCCCUUCGGGGGCAAAGUGACAGGUGGUGCAUGGUUGUCGUCAGCUCGUGUCGUGAGAUGUUGGGUUAAGUCCCGCAACGAGCGCAACCCUUAUUGUUAGUUGCCAUCAUUUAGUUGGGCACUCUAGCAAGACUGCCGGUGACAAACCGGAGGAAGGUGGGGAUGACGUCAAAUCAUCAUGCCCCUUAUGACCUGGGCUACACACGUGCUACAAUGGGAAGUACAACGAGUCGCGAAGUCGCGAGGCUAAGCUAAUCUCUUAAAGCUUCUCUCAGUUCGGAUUGUAGGCUGCAACUCGCCUACAUGAAGCCGGAAUCGCUAGUAAUCGCGGAUCAGCACGCCGCGGUGAAUACGUUCCCGGGCCUUGUACACACCGCCCGUCACACCACGAGAGUUUGUAACACCCGAAGUCGGUGAGGUAACCUU